AGAGUUUGAUCCUGGCUCAGGACGAACGCUGGCGGCGUGCCUAAUGCAUGCAAGUCGAGCGGCAACAGGUUUCUAUCCUCGGGUAGAAAUGCUGGCGAGCGGCGAACGGGUGAGUAACACGUGGGUAACCUCCCCCGAGGAAGGGGAUACCCCACCGAAAGGUGGAUUAAUACCCUAUACUCUCCAGUGAGGAAACUUGUUGGAGAAAAGAUGGCACCUCGGUGCUAUCAUCUUGGGAUGGGCUCACGGCCUAUCAGCUAGUUGGUAAGGUAAAAGCUCACCAAGGCUACGACGGGUAGCUGGCCUGAGAGGGCGGCCAGCCACAUUGGGACUGAGACACGGCCCAAACUCCUACGGGAGGCAGCAGCAGGGAAUCUUGGGCAAUGGGCGCAAGCCUGACCCAGCGACGCCGCGUGGGUGAUGAAGGCCUUCGGGUCGUAAAGCCCUUUUCUGGGAGAAGAAGGGUUAUCUUCUGAAUAAGAAGAUAACCUUGACGGUACCUCAGGAAAAAGCCCCAGCUAACUACGUGCCAGCAGCUGCGGUAAUACGUAGGGGGCAAGCGUUGUCCGGAAUUACUGGGUGUAAAGGGUGUGCAGGCGGUUUAGCAAGUCAGAUGUUAAAGCCCACAGCUUAACUGUGGAAUUGCAUCUGAUACUGUUAAACUAGAGGACGGAAGAGGGAAGUGGAAUUCUCGGUGUAGCGGUGAAAUGCGUAGAUAUCGGGAGGAACACCAAUGGCGAAGGCAACUUCCUGGUCCGUCUCUGACGCUCAUACACGAAAGCCAGGGGAGCAAACCGGAUUAGAUACCCGGGUAGUCCUGGCCCUAAACGAUGGGUGCUUGGUGUUGGGAGGGUAAUUCCUUUCAGUGCCGUAGUUAACACGUUAAGCACCCCACCUGGGGAGUACGGUCGCAAGGUUGAAACUCAAAGGAAUUGACGG
rnacentral:rRNA from 1 species